UACGUAGGUGGCAAGCGUUAUCCGGAUUUACUGGGUGUAAAGGGCGUGUAGGCGGGAUGGUAAGUCAGAUGUGAAAACUAUGGGCUCAACCCAUAGCCUGCAUUUGAAACUAUCGUUCUUGAGUGUUGGAGAGGCAGGCGGAAUUCCGUGUGUAGCGGUGAAAUGCUUAGAUAUCACGAAGAACUCCGAUUGCGAAGGCAGCUCACUGGACUGCAACUGACACUGAGGCUCGAAAGUGUGGGUAUCAAACAGG
rnacentral:rRNA from 1 species